rnacentral:misc_RNA from 1 species
UCACCUUCUUUCACUUCCUCUACAUUUUCUCCUACACUCUCCACCACACCAGUUGCUUCAUGACCGAGAAUUCUGGGGAAGGCUGAAACUGGUCCAUCUGAUAAUUUCCAAAAAGUAACAUCACUAUGACAUAAGGAAGUACAAAGAAUCUUAAUCCGAACUUCCCAAGAAGUAGGAGGAGCAACCUCAAUUUCUUCAAUAAUCAGAGGUUCCCCUGCUUUUCUGCACACUGCAGCUUUG